AUUGAACGCUGGCGGCAGGCCUAACACAUGCAAGUCGAACGAGUGGCGGACGGGUGAGUAAUGUCUGGGAAACUGCACGAUGGAGGGGGAUAACUAAUGGAAACGGUAGCUAAUACCGCAUACCAUCGGAUGUGCCCAGCGGGGAUUAGCUUGUAGGUGAGGUAACGGCUCACCUAGGCGACGAUCCUUAUCUGGUCUGAGAGGAUGACCAGCAACACUGGAACUGAGGCACGGUCCAGACUCCUACUGUAGGCAGGAGUGGUGACUAUUUCACAAUGGGCGCAAGGCGGAUGCAGCCAUGCCGGGUGUAUGAAGAAGUCCUUCGGUUUGUAAAGUACUUUCAGCGGGGAGGCGUUGCCCGCAGAAGAAGCACCGGCUACAGCCGUGCCAGCAGCCGCGGUAAUUC
rnacentral:rRNA from 1 species